UACGUAGGGACCAAGCGUUGUUCGGAUUUACUGGGCGUAAAGGGCGCGUAGGCGGCUUAACAAGUCACUUGUGAAAUCUCCGGGCUUAACUCGGAACGGCCAAGUGAAACUGCAGUGCUAGAGUGUGGAAGGGGCAAUCGGAAUUCUUGGUGUAGCGGUGAAAUGCGUAGAUAUCAAGAGGAACACCUGAGGUGAAGGCGGGUUGCUGGGCCAACACUGACGCUGAUGCGCGAAAGCCAGGGGAGCAAACGGG
rnacentral:rRNA from 1 species